rnacentral:misc_RNA from 1 species
GUAGGAUGAAGGCGAAGCUUGUCUCGAAAACGAUGAAAUAACUGAGUGCCCAGUGGUUUUGUAAGACCAUCAGCUAGUUGAUCCGCACUAGAGAUGAAUUUGACGGUGAGACGACCCUGCUUGACUUGUUCACGUACAAAAUGAUAAUCCAACUCCACAUGUUUCGUUCGUCCAUGAAAAACAGGAUUCGCUGUCAAAUAGACAGCACCAAUGUUGUCGCACCAGAGUUUCGCAGGUAGAGCGUUA